GCCCUAGUACGGCGAGUGAAGCGGCAACAGCUCAAAUUUGAAAGCUAGCCUUCGGGUUCGCAUUGUAAUUUGUAGAGGAUGAUUUGGGGAAGCCGCCUGUCUAAGUUCCUUGGAACAGGACGUCAUAGAGGGUGAGAAUCCCGUAUGUGACAGGAAAUGGCACCCUAUGUAAAUCUCCUUCGACGAGUCGAGUUGUUUGGGAAUGCAGCUCUAAAUGGGAGGUAAAUUUCUUCUAAAGCUAAAUAUUGGCGAGAGACCGAUAGCGCACAAGUAGAGUGAUCGAAAGAUGAAAAGCACUUUGGAAAGAGAGUUAAAAAGCACGUGAAAUUGUUGAAAGGGAAGCGCUUGCAAUCAGACUUGUUUAAACUGUUCGGCCGGUCUUCUGACCGGUUUACUCAGUUUGGACAGGCCAGCAUCAGUUUCGGCGGCCGGAUAAAGGCUCUGGGAAUGUGGCCUCCACUUCGGUGGAGGUGUUAUAGCCCAGGGUGUAAUACGGCCAGCCGGGACUGAGGUCCGCGCUUCGGCUAGGAUGCUGGCGUAAUGGUUGUAAGCGACCCGUC
rnacentral:rRNA from 1 species